GUCUACGGCCAUGCCGCCCUGAACAAACCCGAUCCCAUCUGAUCUAGGAAGUUAAGCAGGGUCAGGCCUGGUUAGUACUUGGAUGGAAAACCUCCUAGGAAAACCAGGUGCUGUAGGUG
rnacentral:rRNA from 1 species